rnacentral:lncRNA from 1 species
GUGCGCACCUAGGGCGAGGGACUAGCUGGGAAGGGUGUGCCUGUGCUUGGGGAUGGGAGCAGGAAGUGUCUGGGACCUCGUCGCCCCCCGCGGCGGUGUAUAAACCCGGGCGGGCCGUCAGAGCGGAGCUUCAGAGCAGAGACAAGAGCCCAGAAAGGAGCAGAUGCUAGAUUUGCAAGAUCAGAAGCAGGUCUUGAUCCUCCUGCCCAGAAUGAACCAGACUUGAUGAUGAUGCCACCUUCAGGAGCCACCACACUGUGUGACAGUGGGGCAUUUGGGCCGUCCCUGGGAAGUACAGGAUCCAAGAAUGAUGAUCUGUGAAGAGUUUUCCGAGGUCACCUACUUCUAACUCUUUUGAAAGAUUUAAAGACAUUGGGCCUGAAAAUUUCAGUGACUUGUCCAGGGAAACGCAGUUUGUGACAGUUCACUCUCUCACAGCUGAACCACAGUCCUCUGUACUCGCCCAGGAGCCA